AGACCCGAAACCCGGUGAUCUAGCCAUGGGCAGGUUGAAGGUUGGGUAACACUAACUGGAGGACCGAACCGACUAAUGUUGAAAAAUUAGCGGAUGACCUGUGGCUGGGGGUGAAAGGCCAAUCAAACCGGGAGAUAGCUGGUUCUCCCCGAAAGCUAUUUAGGUAGCGCCUCGUGAAUUCAUCUCCGGGGGUAGAGCACUGUUUCGGCUAGGGGGCCAUCCCGGCUUACCAACCCGAUGCAAACUGCGAAUACCGGAGAAUGUUAUCACGGGAGACACACGGCGGGUGCUAACGUCCGUCGUGAAGAGGGAAACAACCCAGACCGCCAGCUAAGGUCCCAAAGUCAUGGUUAAGUGGGAAACGAUGUGGGAAGGCCCAGACAGCCAGGAUGUUGGCUUAGAAGCAGCCAUCAUUUAAAGAAAGCGUAAUAGCUCACUGGUCGAGUCGGCCUGCGCGGAAGAUGUAACGGGGCUAAACCAUGCACCGAAGCUGCGGCAGCGACACUGUGUGUUGUUGGGUAGGGGAGCGUUCUGUAAGCCUGCGAAGGUGGCCUGUGAGGGUUGCUGGAGGUAUCAGAAGUGCGAAUGCUGACAUAAGUAACGAUAAAGCGGGUGAAAAGCCCGCUCGCCGGAAGACCAAGGGUUCCUGUCCAACGUUAAUCGGGGCAGGGUGAGUCGACCCCUAAGGCGAGGCCGAAAGGCGUAGUCGAUGGGAAACGGGUUAAUAUUCCCGUACUUGGUGUUACUGCGAAGGGGGGACGGAGAAGGCUAUGUUGGCCGGGC
rnacentral:rRNA from 2 species